AAACAACAAUAAAUUGUUAAAUCCUAAUAAUAAAUAUUAGUUGUUUAUUAUAUUUAAACUGACGUAAACUCACUAUUACUGAUAUCAUUAAAGAAAUAAUUAAUUUGUUACAAAUAAGAAAUUGAUAAUGUAUGUUUGAAACUAAUGUUAUUUAUCUUUCUGGUUGUAAAAUUUUUCCACAUUUUUAAUAAAUGUCUGGUGCGGCCUCCCCGGUGUCCGCAGCGGCUUCUACGAUCUUCAUCGUCGGCAGUUGGACGGAAUUGAGGCUCUUCCGAUUGCAUGGUAGGGCUCGGCGGUUUUGCCUCUUCCUUCUUCUUGUUAUUUUCCGCCAGUUUUUCUAUUAUUUCCCUUAACGGUAAUUUGUUCACAAUUAUGCCACUCUGGCGCAAAAUAAUAUGAAGGAAAGCCGUUUGUUCGUGGACAGAGUAUUCACCCCUAAAAUACGGAAAAUGUUUUGAAGUGUUUAAUAAAGAAAUCAACGGAAACACACAUUACGUACAAAAUUUAUUUAUUUCAGAAAAUUGUCAUUUUACAAAAAUAUAUAUAAUUUCAGAGGCUUCCUUUAUUUUAUUUUUUUCAUCCUGUAAAAAAGUUUUAACAUAUGUAAGGAAAAAUAAUAGCGUUACCCGAAUAAAUAUCAAUUGGAAACAACAAUAAAUUGUUAAAUCCUAAUAAUAAAUAUUAGUUGUUUAUUAUAUUUAAACUGACGUAAACUCACUAUUACUGAUAUCAUUAAAGAAAUAAUUAAUUUGUUACAAAUAAGAAAUUGAUAAUAUGUGUUUGAAACUAUGUUAUUUACCUUUCUUGUGGAAGAAAAAUUUUUUCAUCUUUUAAAUAAAUUCUUGUUGCGGGCCCACUGUUGUCCGCCGCGGCUUCUACGACUUUCUUCGGUUGCAUGGGACACUUCCGAUGGGCUUGUAUCCUUCAUGUUGUUUUGCUCUAAUUUUUCAAUAAUUUCAUUUAAUGGAAUUUUAUGGAGAAUUAUUCCACUUUGUUUUAAAACAACAUGAAGGAAAGCAGUUCUAUCAUGGACAGAGUAUUCAACCCUAAAAUAUGCAGCAAAAUAACCUCAUCAAAGCGUUCACAUAUUUUAAAAGAAUAUUAUGAGUAAAUUCAGUAUAUUAACUUUAUUUACUUCCUAAAAUUUCUAUAAUUUAAACUUCACAAUCAUUAUUUAAAAUAAAAAAUAAACAUUAGGUUAUUUACCUGUCCACGUAAUCCUGAACGGUUACCGUUCCAAUUGUACUCGUUCUG
rnacentral:lncRNA from 1 species